CCAGACUCCUACGGGAGGCAGCAGUGGGGAAUAUUGGGCAAUGGGCGCAAGCCUGACCCAGCAACGCCGCGUGAAGGAAGAAGGCUUUCGGGUUGUAAACUUCUUUUAAGAGGGACGAAACAAAUGACGGUACCUCUUGAAUAAGCCACGGCUAACUACGUGCCAGCAGCCGCGGUAAUACGUAGGAGGCAAGCAUUAUCCGGAUUUAUUGGGUGUAAAGGGCGUGUAGGCGGGAAAGCAAGUCAGAGGUGAAAACUAUGGGCUCAACCCAGAGCCUGCAUUUGAAACUGUUUUUCUUGAGUGCUGGAGAGGCAAUCGGAAUUCCGUGGGUAGCGGUGAAAUGCGUAGAUAUACGGAGGAACACCAGUGGCGAAGGCGGAUUGCUGGACAGUA
rnacentral:rRNA from 1 species